AUUGAACGCUGGCGGCAGGCCUAACACAUGCAAGUCGAACGGUAGCACAGAGAGCUUGCUCUCGGGUGACGAGUGGCGGACGGGUGAGUAAUGUCUGGGAAACUGCCCGAUGGAGGGCGAUAACUACUGGAAACGGUAGCUAAUACCGCAUAACGUCGCAAGACCAAAGUGGGGGACCUUCGGGCCUCACACCAUCGGAUGUGCCCAGAUGGGAUUAGCUAGUAGGUGGGGUAAUGGCUCACCUAGGCGACGAUCCCUAGCUGGUCUGAGAGGAUGACCAGCCACACUGGAACUGAGACACGGUCCAGACUCCUACGGGAGGCAGCAGUGGGGAAUAUUGCACAAUGGGCGCAAGCCUGAUGCAGCCAGGCCGCGUGUAUGAAGAAGGCCUUCGGGUUGUAAAGUACUUUCAGCGGGGAGGAAGGCGGUGGAGUUAAUAACUUCACCGAUUGACGUUACCCGCAGAAGAAGCACCGGCUAACUCCGUGCCAGCAGCCGCGGUAA
rnacentral:rRNA from 1 species